rnacentral:rRNA from 1 species
GGAAUUGACGGGGCCCGCACAAGCGGUGGAGUAUGUGGUUAAUUCGAUGCAACGCGAAGAACCUUACCUGGUCUUGACAUCCCGGAGACCCUUAGGAAACUAGGGGGUGCUUCCAUCUGGAAGAAUCUGGAGACAGGUGCUGCAUGGCUGUCGUCAGCUCGUGUCGUGAGAUGUUGGGGUUAAGUCCCGCAACGAGCGCAACCCUUGCCUUUAGUUGCCAGCAGUUCGGCUGGGCACUCUAAAGGGACUGCCGGUGUUAAACCGGAGGAAGGUGGGGAUGACGUCAAGUCCUCAUGGCCUUUAUGACCAGGGCUACACACGUACUACAAUGGCCGAUACAAAGGGCAGCGACACUGCGAGGUGAAGCCAAUCCCGUAAAAUCGGUCUCAGUCCGGAUUGGAGUCUGCAACUCGACUCCAUGAAGUUGGAAUCGCUAGUAAUCGUGGAUCAGCAUGCCACGGUGAAUACGUUCCCGGGCCUU